rnacentral:rRNA from 1 species
CACGUAGGGUGCGAGCGUUUGUCCGGAAUUAUUGGGCGUAAAGGGCUCGUAGGCGGUCUGUUGCGUCAGGAGUGAAAACUCGGGGGCUUAACCCCCGAGCCUGCUUCUGAUACGGGCAGACUAGAGGUAUGCAGGGGAGAACGGAAUUCCUGGUGUAGCGGUGAAAAUGCGCAGAUAUCAGGAGGAACACCGGUGGCGAAGGCGGAUCUCUGGGCCGAUACUGACGUGAGGAGCGAAAGCGUGGGGGAGCGAACAGG